GAUGAACGCUGGCGGCGUGCUUAACACAUGCAAGUCGAACGGAGCACCCUGAUUGAAGCUUCGGCAGAUUGAUGGAAUGCUUAGUGGCGGACUGGUGCGUAACACGUGAGUAACCUGCCUCGGAGUGUGGCAUAACACCGCGUCAGUUGUGCUAAUACCGCAUAAUUUAGUUGUACCGCAUGGUACUGACUACCAAAGAUUUAUUGCUCUGAGGUGGACUCGCGGCAGAUUAGCUAGUUGGUGGGGUAGCGGCUUACCAAGGCGACGAUCGGUAGCCGGACUGAGAGGUUAACCGGCCACAUUGGGACUGAGAUACGGCCCAGACUCCUACGGGAGGCAGCAGUGGGGAAUAUUGGGCAAUGGGCGAAAGCCUGACCCAGCAACGCCGCGUGAAGGAUGAAGGUCUUCGGAUUGUAAACUUUAGUCGUCGGGGACGAGAACGGACGGUACCCGAGGUGAAGCCACGUCUAACUACGUGCCAGCAGCCGCAGUAACAC
rnacentral:rRNA from 1 species